UACGGGGGGGGCAAGCGUUGUUCGGAAUUACUGGGCGUAAAGGGCUUGUAGGUGGCCAACUAAGUCAGACGUGAAAUCCCUCGGCUUAACCGGGGAACUGCGUCUGAUACUGGAUGGCUUGAGUGUGGGAGAGGGAUGCGGAAUUCCAGGUGUAGCGGUGAAAUGCGUAGAUAUUAGGAAGAACACCGGUGGCGAAGGCGGCCCACUGGUCCGGUACUGACGCUGAGGUGCGAAAGCGUGGGGAGCAAACAGG
rnacentral:rRNA from 1 species